rnacentral:rRNA from 1 species
CAGCCGCCGCGGGAAUACGAAGGGUGCAAGCGUUAAUCGGAAUUACUGGGCGUAAAGCGUGCGUAGGCGGUGAGUUAAGUCUGCUGUGAAAUCCCCGGGCUUAGCCUGGGAACUGCAUUUGUGACUGGCGGGCUAGAGUAUGGCAGAGGGGGGUAGAAUUCCACGUGUAGCAGUGAAAUGCGUAGAGAUGUGGAGGAGUACCGAUGGCGAAGGCAGCCCCCUGGGCCAAUACUGACGCUCAUGCACGAAAGCGUGGGGAGCAAACAGGAUUAGAUACCCCGGUAGUCCCUGUCUCUUAUAC